UUAUUAAUUAUGUUAGUCUCUGUUGCCAGAAAUAAUCUUUAAUUAUAUUUUAAACAAAUAUUGAUGACGCUGGGUUCACAAUUAUCAAAAAUACUCAUAUCUACUACUUCAGGUUCAGGGCAAUAUCUAAAUAAUCACAAGCACUAUUUUACGGUUUACAGAAAAAAAAAGAAAAAAACAAGUACUAUUUUACUAUAUUGUGUUAAGAAAAUUAAAUAAUAAUAUUUAUAGUCGUCGGAAACGUAAGACAAUGCUUACGGGAGAAACCAAAAUAUGCUAUCGUACGUUUCUU
rnacentral:lncRNA from 1 species